ensembl:snoRNA
AGCCUGUGAUGAAUAACAAUGAAGUAUAAGAGUAGUGGACAGAAGUGGUUUCUGAAAUUAAGUUCUGAGGCU